GACGAACGCUGGCGGCGUGCUUAACACAUGCAAGUCGAACGAAGAGCGAUGGAAGCUUGCUUCUAUCAAUCUUAGUGGCGAACGGGUGAGUAACGCGUAAUCAACCUGCCCUUCAGAGGGGGACAACAGUUGGAAACGACUGCUAAUACCGCAUACGAUCUAAUCUCGGCAUCGAGGAUAGAUGAAAGGUGGCCUCUACAUGUAAGCUAUCACUGAAGGAGGGGAUUGCGUCUGAUUAGCUAGUUGGAGGGGUAACGGCCCACCAAGGCGAUGAUCAGUAGCCGGUCUGAGAGGAUGAACGGCCACAUUGGGACUGAGACACGGCCCAGACUCCUACGGGAGGCAGCAGUGGGGAAUCUUCCGCAAUGGACGAAAGUCUGACGGAGCAACGCCGCGUGAGUGAUGACGGCCUUCGGGUUGUAAAGCUCCGUUAAUCGGGACGAAAGGCCUUCUUGCGAAUAGUUAGAAGGAU
rnacentral:rRNA from 1 species